rnacentral:rRNA from 1 species
UACAGAGGUCUCAAGCGUUGUUCGGAAUCAUUGGGCGUAAAGGGCGCGCAGGUGGCUCUGUAUGUCUGCCGUGAAAGCAUACAGCUCAACUGUAUUGUGUCGGUAGAAACUGCAGGACUUGAGGCUGGGAGGGGCUGGUGGAAUUCCCUGUGUAGCGGUGAAAUGCGUAGAGAUGGGGGAGAACACUCGUGGCGAAGGCGGCCAGCUAGACCAGUUCUGACACUGAGGCGCGACAGCGUGGGGAGCAAACAGG